rnacentral:rRNA from 1 species
UACAGGGGGUGCAAACGUUGCUCGGAAUCAUUGGGCGUAAAGCGCACGUAGGCGGUUCGUUAUGUCGGAUGUGAAAGCCCUUGGCUUAACCGAGGAAGUGCAUCCGAAACUGGCGAGCUAGAGUACUAAAGAGGAUCGCGGAAUUCCCGGUGUAGAGGUGAAAUUCGUAGAUAUCGGGAGGAACACCGGUGGCGAAGGCGGCGAUCUGGGUAGAUACUGACGCUGAGGUGCGAAAGCGUGGGGAGCAAACGGG